UGUGAGGAGUCUGAGAGUGUGUGUCUGAGAGUAUGACUGUGUGUGUGGAGUGUGAGAGUAUGUGAGUGUGUGUGGGAGUGUGUGUGGGAGUCUGUGUGUGGGAGUCUGUGAGUGAUAGUGUAUGACUGUGUGUGAGGGUGAGCAUGUGUGUCUGUGUGAUAGCAAUAGUGUGUUUGUAUGUGUAUGAUUGUGUGUCAGUACAUGUGUGAGUGAUGUGUGUGUGUGUGUGAGUGUAUGUGAGAGAGUGUGUGAGUGUGUGUGUGAGAGAGGGAGAGAGAGAGGGAGAGAGAGAGGGGAAAGGGCUAUCAAUGUAAUUUGCCUCUACAGCUAAACACACAGGCCGUAAUCAUAGCCAUUUUACUAAAUGCCCAUAAAACUAAAAAACAAAUAGGAAACCUCCGGAUUACAGGGCCUUCUCUGAGCAGGGAGUGGCGCAAUCAAGUGCUAUCUGCGCUAAGUCCCAGCUUGCAGUGAGUGACCCAGGAGGCGCGGGUAAACAGAGAGAGGACCCCGUUCCCUGUCCCCCCCAUCAAACCUCCAAGGCUGAAUGCCUCCGAGGCUGAGCGCCGGGGGAACGGGGGGCUUCCUGGGAACGCAGUCCCCUCCGUGUGGGGGUCCUCAGCUCCCCUGUGUGAGCCUGUGCCAUGCGGAACGGGACCACAGCCUCAGCCUCACAACGUGCCUGUGACCCAGCGGGAGUGGAACCCAGGCCUCUGGCACCGGGGACCCUCAGAACCCUGCCUGCAAGGGAACCCCAGACUUUGAGGGGAACAGCCUCGUGCAGCCCUCAUUUCUCCCUUACAGCUGUGGGACUUCACAGACAAGCAAAAGAAAGGGAGCAUUUUAGCAAGAGCAGCCUCAACGCCACCCCCUAGAGAGCAGAAAAAAAGGGAUGCUACCCCAGGUCUUACUCUAGGGUCUCCCCUCGGCCACACUCCCUGCCUCAACAGAAUCUCAAGCGCCAGAAUCACCAAAGGACAUUCUAAGUGUCAUUCCGCCCUGAGUGUCAGAAAAUGCCUGCAGUGGAUCCUCAGUGGCCUCCGCUGAUGUAAGGAGGGUGGCCCGGAGGAGGCCGCCCUGCAGAGGGCUCCCCAGCACAGCAGCCGCGGGGACCCAGCACGCCAGGCGCACGACAGGGAGCAGCCGGUAGCCGGGGCAAAGUCUGCAAGGAUCCAAGCAGGACCUGCCCCACCCUGGUUCCACCCUCACUUCUUGAUGCUUGCCUUCCAAAGACCUGGGGACUUACCUGUCCCCUGAAAGAUACGUUUACCAGGUAACAGCAUCUUCCCAACCCCCACGAACCUCGCACUCCAGGCUGUGUGCACCUCAGAUCUCUGUGGAAGUGGCAUCUACUACUGAAAACAUUUUUUUGGCAGAAAAAAAAAAAACCCUCAGCUUUAAGAGACUAUUGCUGGCAGUGCAGGCUCCAAGCAGACCCAGAAUCAGGCCUAGCCAGGCCCUUCCGGCAGCCCCCUCAAGCUCCGAGCUCCCUCCCAGCAGGGCGUCCCUCCGCUGCACCCUCAUGGAUGCCCCAUCCACCUGAUGGCAGCCCCUCCUUAGUUCUGGCCACUCCUUCAGCACCAAGGCCUGGGAGGUGGCUUAGGAGGUGAAGAGGAAGGAGCAGCAGGGAUGCCCCGAGGCAGACGCCCGGGAGUCAUGCACUAGGGCCUCCCAGGGCUGACUGGGCCAGGCACCUGCGCAACCCUCACUGACAUGGCACGGAGAAGGCAGUUGGACGGUUCCUGGUGGUCUCCAUUCUUCAUCUCCUGAGCUCCUCUUACACUGGGGUCAGCCUCCCUCCCCUGGCUGGCACAGGGCUGGUCUCAGCCAAACCCUGUGUCCCUGCCAUCUACAUCAGUCGGUCCCAUGUGAGAAGGAGUGACUCAGGCACUUUGUAAUGCAAGAUCGUUUACUUCAAGGCGCAAGAGGCUGAACCUGCUUACCCCACCUGGCCGGGAGCCCCCUUGUGGAAGAGAAAGCGGAGGGUUGGGGCGGGCGGGGGGACCGGUGCCCCACCCUGCAGAGUGCUAGCUGAGUUAACCUGCCACAAAAGUAUUAGAUAUCUGGGAUAAAAUGAUCAUGGGUGGUGUCACCCCCUUCUUAUUAAAAUUCUGGG
rnacentral:lncRNA from 10 species